rnacentral:rRNA from 1 species
GGUUAAUGCUAGCGGUGCGCCUAACACAUGCAAGUCGAGCGGGAUUUGAUUAUAGCUUGCUCCUUGAUUCAGCGGCGGACGGGUGAGUAAUGCCUAGAAAUCUGCCUGGUAGUGGGGGACAACGUUUCGAAUGGAACGCUAAUACCGCAUACGUCCUACGGGAGAAAGCAGGGGACCUUCGGGCCUUGCGCUAUCAGAUGAGCCUAGGUCGGAUUAGCUAGUUGGUGGGGUAAUGGCUCACCAAGGCGACGAUCCGUAACUGGUCUGAGAGGAUGAUCAGUCACACUGGAACUGAGACGCGGUCCAGACUCCUACGGGAGGCAGCAGUGGGGAAUAUUGGACAAUGGGCGAAAGCCUGAUCCAGCCAUGCCGCGUGUGUGAAGAAGGUCUUCGGAUUGUAAAGCACUUUAAGUUGGGAGGAAGGGCAGUAAGCUAAUACCUUGCUGUUUUGACGUUACCGACAGAAUAAGCACCGGCUAACUCUGUGCCAGCAGCCGCAGUAA